CCUACGGGACGCACCAGUAGGGAAUCUUCGGCAAUGGACGAAAGUCUGACCGAGCAACGCCGCGUGAGUGAAGAAGGUUUUCGGAUCGUAAAACUCUGUUGUUAGAGAAGAACAAGGACGUUAGUAACUGAACGUCCCCUGACGGUAUCUAACCAGAAAGCCACGGCUAACUACGUGCCAGCAGCCGCGGUAAUACGUAGGUGGCAAGCGUUGUCCGGAUUUAUUGGGCGUAAAGCGAGCGCAGGCGGUUUCUUAAGUCUGAUGUGAAAGCCACCGGCUCAACCGGGGAGGGUCAUUGGAAACUGGGAGACUUGAGUACAGAAGAGGAGAGUGGAAUUCCAUGUGUAGCGGUGAAAUGCGUAGAUAUAUGGAGGAACACCAGUGGCGAAGGCGACUCUCUGGUCUGUAACUGACGCUGAGGCUCGAAAGCGUGGGGAGCAAACAGGAUUAGAUACCCGCGUAGUC
rnacentral:rRNA from 1 species